UGUGCACCCUAAAGCACAAGCACACGCCGCGUAUAUGUAUGUAUAUGUAUAUGUGUAUAUAUAUAUGUAUAUAUAUAUAUAUAAAUAUAUAUACACUGCUGUGUGUGUGUGUGCUGUGUGAGGGUGCUGG